GACCAAGCCGUUUGAGUGUUUUCCUCCCCUAUGGCUCCAAGGUUACACAUUAACCCCUGUGGGACUCUUAAGUCAACCAAAGCCCAGUCGGUUUCUAGAUGGAGGCUCACUCUAUCGCCCAGGCUGGAGUGCAAUGGCACGAUCUCGGCUCACUGCAACCUCCGCCUCCCAGAUUCAAGCGAUUCUCCUGCCUCAGC
ensembl:lncRNA novel transcript, antisense to TLCD1